CGCGGCUUUUGGGGUUGGUAGUGACUAGUUCUGGCCUAGUGGAGGCUCCAAGCCUGGGGAUAGCUGACCUUGGACGGGAGUCUGGGAGGGGUCAACAGCAGGAAGCCUCCGCCAGACGGCUGGUGUCCCGGAGCUAGGAGACGUGGCGCUUUAAUGGGUCCAGGGGAGGGGCUCUCGAGGAAGUCAGAGAGGGGGUGGGAGGUGGAGAGGAGCGGGUGAAGAGUGUGGAAGCGUGUCCGGGGUCUAGGUCAAAGUCUCCCUGGUUAAGUCUUGAAGGAUUAAUAGGAUGAGAGAAGAGAGACUGUGGUGAUGAAUUCUAAGCAUGGAGACCAGCAAAAGUCAUCUUGGGACAUGAGAGAAUAUGAUGCAUCUGGACUAUGGUAUUCACCAAGUGGCCAGGUACCAUGUGGGUGUGAUUAGCCUGGAAGAGUCCUGGCGAGAACCACGUCUCUCCUGGAAGCUGUGUAUCAACUCCUCCCUGUAUGUUCUCUUGUCUGUAGCUGAGAGCUUCACUGUGCAGGACAUCCUGGUAGACUUCCAGAGCAGCCUUUGCAAUAAAACAGCCAUUAGAAUGUUGGCAAAUUUGAAUAUAGCUUGGGACACAAGUAGUCUGACAUGUCCAGGAAUGAAAAUAGCCAAGUACAAUUUAUCCUCAGCUUAAAUGCAACUGUGAGAUGGGAAAAGCAAGGCAUUCUUUGGCUAAUGAACCUGACAGCUUCAUUUCUUACCAUUCCAUCCAUCUACUCUAGUGAACUAUUUAUUUGUGGCUCCUUGGACUUGUGGGCUUCUCUUUGACCUCUAGGCUCUCUCCCAGGUUGUUAAGUUUACUUGCAUCAUCCUUUUAAGUACAGCACCUGUGCCCACCCCCACUAAGCUGCCUUAUGUAGACUUGCCCUCAGACCUCAUCUUCACCAUCACCUCCUCCUAUAAACCUGCCCAAACCCUUUUUUCUGAGUUUGUACAGCCCGUGGUAACUGCCUCACUUUAGCAUUUACUACACGGUAUUGAAAUUAUUUACUUAGUUAUGUGCCUUUGGUCACUAGAUUGUGAGCUUGCUGGGGGCAGGGCUCUGCCUGGCUCAGCACAGAGCAGGUACUUAA
rnacentral:lncRNA from 1 species